ACUCCUACGGGAGGCAGCAGUGGGGAAUCUUGGACAAUGGGCGCAAGCCUGAUCCAGCCAUGCCGCGUGAGUGAUGAAGGCCUUAGGGUCGUAAAGCUCUUUCGCCAGGGAUGAUAAUGACAGUACCUGGUAAAGAAACCCCGGCUAACUCCGUGCCAGCAGCCGCGGUAAUACGGAGGGGUUAGCGUUGUUCGGAAUUACUGGGGCGUAAAGCGCGCGUAGGCGGAUUAGUCAGUCAGAGGUGAAAUCCCAGGGGCUCAACCCUGGAACUGCCUUUGAUACUGCUAGUCUUGAGUUCGAGAGAGGUGAGUGGAAUUCCGAGUGUAGAGGUGAAAUUCGUAGAUAUUCGGAGGAACACCAGUGGCGAAGGCGGCUCACUGGCUCGAUACUGACGCUGAGGUGCGAAAGUGUGGGGAGCAAACA
rnacentral:rRNA from 1 species